rnacentral:miRNA from 1 species
ACUGACUCACUGUUAAUGGAAAAUAUUCACACUGCAUCUAGUUACUAUAGUAUUUCUAAGCAUAAUCACAGCUGAUUGAAUGCAAUGUGAUAUACACCAAAAUUCAUAUGAAUGUCACACAGUGACAGCAUUGUACAAGUAACAUUAAUGACCUCCAACAAACACAUGUUAAAUUAGACU